UGCGAUUCUGCGUUAAGGAAUUAAGGAACACGGUUUCCUAGAAAACAUUGACCACCGUUACCACGUAAAAUAGCGGUGCCGCCCAUUAUGACGGCGGUGAGUGCGGCGACAAACAGUUCUAGCAAUGUUUUUGUACGGUACGGUGGAAGGUGCCGUGAACUCACAACAUGACGUGUUGGAGUAGCGAAGAAGGCGAAGAACCAUGAGAUGUUAUAUAAUGUGAAGAGCAAAGACUACAGCUGAAGCAAAAUCUGUGGUGUGAAAUUGGCGGUACACUUAAUAAAACAGAUGUUGACUGCAGCAAGAGAUGGGCCUACGUAAGAGAUUAUUAUAUUAGACGGAGAGGAAAACCUGACACUGGUUCCAGUGGUGAGGCAGCAAAGAAGAGGUCUGUGCUCCUAUCAUUCUUAGAUGGCUUCAGUUCAUCAAAAAGAAGCACUGUUACCAAUGUUGUUGGAGAUGAGAAUAGUAAGGACAUAAAUACCAAUGAGACUGUGGCCACGGAGGUACUUACCAGGUACAUAUCAGGCGUACCAGCAGAAGCAUCGGACGCAUUUUGGAUGAUGAGAAUUCGCAAUGAGGAAUGUACAGAUAAGAGCUACUAGAAGGUUCUUUAAUAGUCGGCAUGGUGUGUGAAUGGCUACUCAUCCCACUGCGUCUGAUAAAAGAAACUUCCAGAAUGUUCUCGAACUAUGAAACAGUAGAAGCAGCUUCGAGAAUGAUCUGGAAAGAGAAGGUUCUGGAUGUUACAUCAUCUCACAGUAUUUAAAGGAUUGAUCCAGGAUGGCGAAGACAGAUAAGUAAGAGACAAGUAAGACAUUGGCCGAUCAGUGAGUGAACAUGUAUAUUUGGUGAGAUACCGGGCUGGGAGAUUGACGUACAUUAUCUACCGUACUGUAACAUAGUGUUGCGAAUCUUGAAGUAGUGUACAGUGAGUGCCAAAAGUACACCUGUAAUUGCAAGUGACUGCUGCUUGUAACUGUAUAGUGCUGUUAAUAAAGAAGUGUAUUAUUAAUAUCGAGUUGUGAUCCAGAGACUUCUUCACCAGGAAGACCUCUCUCGUCCAAGCAAGGCCCAUUAAGCCCUAAGAGAGAAUCUCAUUGCUCAACCCAGAACAUUAUCCUCUUUCUACCCCCAAGCACCUUGCUGUGGUUCCCAGACCAUGUAAUGGCGCCCUAUCAACUGCAAAGGUGCAGAAGGAUGGCUCAGGCAGUGAUUACACGAAUUCCCAACAAAGAACUCUCACAGUACUUACCUCAUGAAGUGCAAUCUUCACAGGUGGUACAUGAUUACCUUUGCUACUCUGACUGACUCUCCUCGAAGUUAAAGGGUCAAAGUCGCAUUGCGACUGAUGGUGAGUCAGUCUGUUUCUUUUUAGAUAAAAGUUACUGUCCUGUCCGUGUGGGGCGCCCUCUCAGACAAGAG